GCACUAGUAGCUCAAUCCCAGAGCAUCG
rnacentral:tRNA from 1 species